rnacentral:rRNA from 1 species
UUAAAUUUAUUUUAUUAAUAUUUUUGUUUUUAAUUGAUUUUUUAUAAAAAUAAUUUAUUUAUUUAAAGUUUUAGUAUUAAUUAAAAAUUAAUUUAUAGAUUUAUAGUUUAAUAGUAUAGUGAAAGAAAUAUUUAGAUUUUAAAAAGAAUAAAUUUAGUACCUUUUGUAUCAGGGUUGAUUAAAAUUUUUAAUUUUUUUUUAAAUUCUCAAAAUUUAUAGAGUUAAUUUUAUUAUUAAUUUAUUGUAUUAUAAAUAUUUAUAAAAUAAUAUUAGUUUUGAAAUUUAAUUCGUUAUAUUAUAUUUAGUUAUUUAAGAUUUAAAUUUAAUUUAAAAUUUUAAAAGUUAUGUUGAUUUUAUUAAUUAAUAUUUUAAAUUUAAAUUAUUUUAGGGAUAAGCUUGAAAUUUUUAUAUAAUAAUUUAUUUAAUUUAAUAAUUUAUAGGAAUAGAAAUUUUUAUUUAAGUUUGUAAAAAUUUAUUAUUUAUUUUAUUUUAAUUUAUUAUAAAUUAUUUAUUUUUUAUAUUAAAUUUUAUUAAUUAAUAAUUAAUUAAUAGUAAUAAUGAUUAAAUUAGUAUAAUUAAUAUUUAUAAAUUAUGAAUUCGGCAAAAAUUAUUUUCAUCUGUUUAACAAAAACAUUGUAUUAAGUUUAAUUUAAUAUAGGAUCUGCUCAAUGAUUUAUUAAAUAGCUGCAGUAUUUUGACUGUGCAAAGGUAGCAUAAUAAUUAGUCUUUUAAUUGAGGACUUGUAUGAAAGAUUUGAUGAGAAAUAAACUUUAUUAUUUAUAUAAUUAAAAUUUUAUUUUUAAGUAAAAAAGCUUAAAUUAUUUAAAGGGACGAUAAGACCCUAUAAAACUUUAUAAAUUUUAAAUUUAAUUUUUUUGGAUUUAUAAAUAUUUUAUUUUUAAAAUUUAUUUUAUUGGGGUGAUAAAAAAAAUUAAUAAACUUUUUUUAAAAAUUAACAUUAUUUAAUGAAUUUUUGAAUUAAAAUUUUUAAUUAAAGGAAAAAGUUACUUUAGGGAUAACAGCGUAAUUAAUUUUUUAAGUUCAAAUUUAAAAAUUAGUUUGCGACCUCGAUGUUGAAUUAAGAUUAAUCUUAGGUGCAAAAUUUUAAGUGUUAGGUCUGUUCGACCUUUAAAUUCUUACAUGAUUUGAGUUCAAACCGGUGUAAGCCAGGUUGGUUUCUAUCUUUUAAAAAUUAAUUUAUUUUAGUACGAAAGGAUUAAAUAAAUAAAUUAAAUUUUUAUUAAAUGAAUAAAAUUAAUUUA